rnacentral:rRNA from 1 species
UACGGGGGGGGCAAGCGUUGUUCGGAAUUACUGGGCGUAAAGGGCUCGUAGGUGGCCAACUAAGUCGGACGUGAAAUCCCUCGGCUUAACCGAGGAACUGCCUGCCAGACUGUGAGGCUUGAGACCGGGAGAGGUGAGUGGAAUUCCCAGUGUAGCGGUGAAAUGCGUAGAUAUUGGGAGGAACACCAGUGGCGAAGGCGGCUCACUGGACCGGAACUGACGCUGAGGCGCGAAAGCGUGGGGAGCAAACAGG